rnacentral:lncRNA from 1 species
AGAGGCGGGGGCGCCGCUUCGGGAGAGCGGGCAGUUCUAGGAGGCCGACCUGGAGAGCCUCCCGGUUCCCCUUCCCCUUUUCCCGGACCCCGCGGGGACACCCCCUCGCCGCCACCCGGGCCUCCCCGAGGGCCCAACUGCGGGUCAGGCGGCCCGGGCCAGCCGAAAGGGAAGUGGGGCUACCCCACAGCCAGGCAGCGGGGCUGGGGUCAGACCCGGGAGCCGGAGGUUGGAGACGUGCGACAGUCACCUGCGGGCAGAUUCCAGAGGGGAGACCCAGGGCUGCAGGGGACGCCCCUUCGUGGCAGCUACCCAGCCUCGGCCCACUGCCAGUGUUACGUGGCUGCAUGACCAUACACUUCUGGGUAGAGCCCAGUGGAAGACAAAGAAGACUCAAGGAAUAGCCCUUGAGGGCUCAGGAGCUAUACAGAUGGGAUAGAGGGUGUGAGUGCUGGGAAGCCCCAUCCAUGGCUCGCUGGAGAUUAGAGGCCUGUUAAUCUGAAGACAAAGGAAUGAAGACGAAAACGUUUCUGAAAAUGUGGGUGGAGACACCUGGGCCUUUACAGGGUACGCUCCAGAGCUG